CCUACGGGAGGCAGCAGUGGGGAAUAUUGCACAAUGGGGGAAACCCUGAUGCAGCGACGCCGCGUGAGUGAAGAAGUAUUUCGGUAUGUAAAGCCCUAUCAGCAGGGAAGAAAAUGACGGUACCUGGUCAAGAAGCCACGGCUAACUACGUGCCAGCAGCCGCGGUAAUACGUAGGGGGCAAGCGUUAUCCGGAUUUACUGGGUGUAAAGGGAGCGUAGACGGCAGGACAAGUCAGGGGUGAAAUGCCGGGGCCUAACCCCGGAACUGCUUUGGAAACUGGGCAGCUAGAGUGCCGGAGAGGUAAGUGGAAUGCCUAGUGUAGCGGUGAAAUGCGUAGAUAUUAGGAGGAACACCAGUGGCGAAGGCGGCUUACUGGACUGUAACUGACGUUGAGGCUCGAAAGCGUGGGGAGCAAACAGGAUUAGAUACCCUUGUAGUC
rnacentral:rRNA from 1 species